AACGAACGCUGGCGGCAGGCCUAACACAUGCAAGUCGAACGCUCUCCUUCGGGAGAGAGUGGCGCACGGGUGAGUAACGCGUGGGAAUCUGCCCUUUGGUUCGGAAUAACCCUGGGAAACUAGGGCUAACACCGGAUAAGCCCCGCGAGGGGGAAAGUUUACGCCGAAGGAGGAGCCCGCGUCCGAUUAGCUAGUUGGUGAGGUAAGAGCUCACCAAGGCUUCGAUCGGUAGCUGGUCUGAGAGGACGAUCAGCCACACUGGGGACUGAGACACGGCCCAGACUCCUACGGGUGGCAG
rnacentral:rRNA from 1 species